CGGACGGGUGAGUAACGCGUGAGCAACCUGUCCUUCACAGGGGGAUAACACAGCGAAAGUUGUACUAAUACCGCAUAAGACCACACCGGGACAUCCCGGAGGGGUCAAAGGAGCAAUCCGGUGAAGGGUGGGCUCGCGUCCGAUUAGAUAGUUGGUGAGGUAACGGCCCACCAAGUCGACGAUCGGUAGCCGACCUGAGAGGGUGAUCGGCCACAUUGGGACUGAGACACGGCCAAACUCCUACGGGAGGCAGCAGUGGGGAAUAUUGGGCAAUGGGGGAAACCCUUGACCCAGCAACGCCGCGUGAGGGAAGUAAGGUUUUCGGAUCGUAAACCUCUGUCCUUGGUGAAGAGAUAGAGACGGUAGCCAAGGAGGAAGCCCCGGCUAACUACGUGCCAGCAGCUGC
rnacentral:rRNA from 1 species